AGGAAGGUAGUGUAGUUAACACCUGCAUUAUUUGACGUUACCUACAGAAGAAGCACCGGCUAACUCCGUGCCAGCAGCCGCGGUAAUACGGAGGGGUGCGAGCGUUAAUCGGAAUUACUGGGGCGUAAAGCGCAUGCAGGCGGGCCUGUUAAGUCAGAUGUGAAAGCCCGGGGCGUUAACCUCGGAAUUGCAUUUGAAACUGGCAGGCUAGAGUCUUGUAGAGGGGGGUAGGAAUUUCAGGUGUAGCGGUGAAAUGCGUAGAGAUCUGAAGGAAUACCAGUGGCGAAGGCGGCCCCCCUCGGACAAAGACUGACGCUCAGAUGCGAAAGCGUGGGGAGCAAACAGGAUUAGAUACCCCUGGUAG
rnacentral:rRNA from 1 species